CAUGCAGUCGAACGAUGAUCCCAGCUUGCUGGGGGAUUAGUGGCGAACGGGUGAGUAACACGUGAGUAACCUGCCCUUGACUCUGGGAUAAGCCUGGGAAACUGGGUCUAAUACCGGAUACGACCAUUCCACGCAUGUGGUGGUGGUGGAAAGCUUUUGUGGUUUUGGAUGGACUCGCCGCCUAUCAGCUUGUUGGUGGGGUAAUGGCCUACCAAGGCGACGACGGGUAGCCGGCCUGAGAGGGUGACCGGCCACACUGGGACUGAGACACGGCCCAGACUCCUACGGGAGGCAGCAGUGGGGAAUAUUGCACAAUGGGCGCAAGCCUGAUGCAGCGACGCCGCGUGAGGGAUGACGGCCUUCGGGUUGUAAACCUCUUUCAGUAGGGAAGAAGCGAAAGUGACGGUACCUGCAGAAGAAGCGCCGGCUAACUACGUGCCAGCAGCCGCGGUAAUACGUAGGGCGCAAGCGUUAUCCGGAAUUAUUGGGCGUAAAGAGCUCGUAGGCGGUUUGUCGCGUCUGCUGUGAAAGACCGGGGCUCAACUCCGGUUCUGCAGUGGGUACGGGCAGACUAGAGUGCAGUAGGGGAGACUGGAAUUCCUGGUGUAGCGGUGAAAUGCGCAGAUAUCAGGAGCAACACCGAUGGCGAAGGCAGGUCUCUGGGCUGUAACUGACGCUGAGGAGC
rnacentral:rRNA from 1 species